rnacentral:rRNA from 1 species
CUACGGGACGCACCAGUGAGGAAUAUUGCACAAUGGGGGAAACCCUGAUGCAGCAACGCCGCGUGGAGGAUGACGCAUUUCGGUGUGUAAACUCCUUUUAUCAGAGAAGAAAAUGACGGUAUCUGAUGAAUAAGCUCCGGCUAACUCCGUGCCAGCAGCCGCGGUAAUACGGAGGGAGCAAGCGUUAUUCGGAAUCACUGGGCGUAAAGGACGCGUAGGCGGGUUUUUAAGUCAGGUGUGAAAUCCUAUGGCUCAACCAUAGAACUGCACUUGAAACUGGGGACCUAGAGUAUGGAAGGGGCAGGUGGAAUUAGUGGUGUAGGGGUAAAAUCCGUAGAUAUCACUAGGAAUACCGAAAGCGAAGGCGACCUGCUGGGACAUUACUGACGCUGAGGCGUGAAAGCGUGGGGAGCAAACAGGAUUAGAUACCCGGGUAGUC